AGAGUUUGAUCCUGGCUCAGAUUGAACGCUGGCGGCAUGGCUAAAACAUGCAAGUCGAACGAUGAAAGCACCUUCGGGUGUGCAUGAAGUGGCGAAAGGGCGAGGAAUACGUUCCUACGUACCCCAAGGUCAGGGAUAGCCCCGGGAAACUGGGAGUAAUACCUGAUGACAUCUCCGGAUCAAAGGCUUCGGCCACCUUGGGAGCGGGGAACGCCCUAUCAGGUUGUUGGUGAGGUAACGGCUCACCAAGCCAAAGACGGGUAGCGGGUGUGAGAGCAUGACCCGCCGCAUCGGGACUGAGACACUGCCCGGACUCCUACGGGAGGCUGCAGUAACGAAUAUUCCGCAAUGCGCGAAAGCGUGACGGAGCAAUGCCGCGUGUGGGAUGAAUCUCUUCGGAGUGUAAACCACUGUCAGAGUUUAGGAACUCAAUGACCAGACUCAAAGGAAGGGCCGGCUAACUUCGUGCCAGCAGCCGCGGUAAUACGAAGGGCCCGAGCGUUAAUCGGAAUCACUGGGCUUAAAGCGUGCGUAGGCGGACUUGAAGGUGCUUUGUGAAAUCCCUCGGCUCAACCGAGGAACUGCAGGGCAAACCGUGAGUCUUGAGACAGGUAGAGGUUGUCGGAACGAUAGGUGGAGUGGUGAAAUGCGUUGAUAUCUAUCGGAACGCCAAUGGAGAAGUCAGGCAACUGGGCCUGUUCUGACGCUGAGGCACGAAAGCGUGGGUAGCGAACGGGAUUAGAUACCCCGGUAGUCCACGCCAUAAACAAUGUGCACUAGGUCGAGGGCGUUCUGACGCGACUCUCGGCCGAAGCGAAAGUGUUAAGUGCACCGCCUGGGGAGUACGGUCGCAAGGCUAAAACUCAAAGGAAUUGACGGGGGCUCACA
rnacentral:rRNA from 1 species